rnacentral:ncRNA from 2 species
GUUCCCGUUGCGGGAGAGCGCAGCCCAGCCUGCCGCCGAAGGCGUAAUCACCCGGAAUCGCUCAGGCAAAAGGACCGCAACACCCAG